rnacentral:rRNA from 1 species
UGAACGCUAGCUACAGGCUUAACCUUGCAAGUCGAGGGGCAGCAUGGUCUUAGCUUGCUAAGGCUGAUGGCGACCGGCGCACGGGUGAGUAACACGUAUCCAACCUGCCGUCUACUCUUGGACAGCCUUCUGAAAGGAAGAUUAAUACAAGAUGGCAUCAUGAGUCCGCAUGUUCACAUGAUUAAAGGUAUUCCGGUAGACGAUGGGGAUGCGUUCCAUUAGAUAGUAGGCGGGGUAACGGCCCACCUAGUCUUCGAUGGAUAGGGGUUCUGAGAGGAAGGUCCCCCACAUUGGAACUGAGACACGGUCCAAACUCCUACGGGAGGCAGCAGUGAGGAAUAUUGGUCAAUGGGCGAGAGCCUGAACCAGCCAAGUAGCGUGAAGGAUGACUGCCCUAUGGGUUGUAAACUUCUUUUAUAAAGGAAUAAAGUCGGGUAUGGAUACCCGUUUGCAUGUACUUUAUGAAUAAGGAUCGGCUAACUCCGUGCCAGCAGCCGCGGUAAUACGGAGGAUCCGAGCGUUAUCCGGAUUUAUUGGGUUUAAAGGGAGCGUAGAUGGAUGUUUAAGUCAGUUGUGAAAGUUUGCGGCUCAACCGUAAAAUUGCAGUUGAUACUGGAUGUCUUGAGUGCAGUUGAGGCAGGCGGAAUUCGUGGUGUAGCGGUGAAAUGCUUAGAUAUCACGAAGAACUCCGAUUGCGAAGGCAGCCUGCUAAGCUGCAACUGACAUUGAGGCUCGAAAGUGUGGGUAUCAAACAGGAUUAGAUACCCUGGUAGUCCACACGGUAAACGAUGAAUACUCGCUGUUUGCGAUAUACUGCAAGCGGCCAAGCGAAAGCGUUAAGUAUUCCACCUGGGGAGUACGCCGGCAACGGUGAAACUCAAAGGAAUUGACGGGGGCCCGCACAAGCGGAGGAACAUGUGGUUUAAUUCGAUGAUACGCGAGGAACCUUACCCGGGCUUAAAUUGCAGAUGAAUUACGGUGAAAGCCGUAAGCCGCAAGGCAUCUGUGAAGGUGCUGCAUGGUUGUCGUCAGCUCGUGCCGUGAGGUGUCGGCUUAAGUGCCAUAACGAGCGCAACCCUUGUUGUCAGUUACUAACAGGU